UGACUACAUUUCACAAGAGGAUUGGUCAACACUGCUAACUUGUUCUGAGCAGUCAGCUCUGCUCUCUGAAUUGUGUGAGAUUGUCAGGGACGUGCUGGGGAGGACAACGUCAAGUCCACCAGGAGAACACUGCUGGCAUUUGCUAACGGCAUCCUCCCCACCUUUGCUGAUUUUUUUGUGACAUAAAGACAUCUCCCAAAGGCACUGGCUGCUCAGACAUCACAUUCCAGCACCGACUCAGUCAGGACGCAGCUGCUCCUAGAAAACUGGCCCAACCACUGUGUGGAGAAGAUAAGAAACAAUGAAUCUCAAUACUGUGUUUCAGAUCAUCAGUGCAGAGCCAUGAAAAGAACCAAGGCUGCUGGCUCAGAAUGCCUUGCUGGGUCUGUCAGACCACGUUUCCUGAGAUGACAACACUUUUGCUUUUAAGAGAUCAAUUUUGUAAUAAUGACAAUGUUCUCUUGUCUAUUCCCAUAGGUCUUGUAUAUUUCAAAUGCUUCUCUGCCUAAUUAUAGCAACUGAACAAUGUAAUCAACUAUCUCUUUUUCCCCAGAUGAAUAAAUAUUUUUUUGCACAGUUAGAAGGUUUAAAUCUAGCUGAAGUCAGUAUUCGAAAGAUCAGUAUUCUUUCUUAUGGGCUCUAAAAUCCCUAUUUGCUUUUUCCCCCUUCUUUAUAUUUUGUGUAACAUAUUGGUUUUAAAAUAAUUAUUCCUCACUGGUUAUUGUGAUUUGGACAUAUAAAUAAAAAGCAUGCAAAAGUAAAUAUUAGAAUUUGGCUACAGAUUUCAUAUUGGAGGAAUUUGUAUGUGAAAACUAGAAGGUAACACUGUGUUUUGUAUGGUACUUACGAAGGUCUACUACCUCUGUCUAAGCAGCAGGGAUGUCAAUGUUGAAGAACAGAAAAAACAGGGAGGGAAGAUUGAAUAGGAUUGGCAGCGACACAUUUAUGGUCUCAACUUCGAUGCCGUAAAUGUAAUUUUCUAUACUCCAUAAAAAUUUUUAAAGUAUAUAUUUAAGGUG